rnacentral:rRNA from 1 species
AGGACGAACGCUGGCGGCGUGCUUAACACAUGCAAGUCGAGCGGAAAGGCCCUUCGGGGUACUCGAGCGGCGAACGGGUGAGUAACACGUGAGUAAUCUGCCCCUAGCUCUGGGAUAGCUCCGGGAAACCGGGAUUAAUACCAGAUACGACCACUUUAGACAUCUGCUGUGGUGGAAAGAAUUUCGGCUAGGGAUGAGCUCGCGGCCUAUCAGCUUGUUGGUGAGGUAACGGCUCACCAAGGCGACGACGGGUAGCCGGCCUGAGAGGGCGACCGGCCACACUGGGACUGAGACACGGCCCAGACUCCUACGGGAGGCAGCAGUGGGGAAUAUUGCGCAAUGGGCGAAAGCCUGACGCAGCGACGCCGCGUGGGGGAUGAAGGCCUUCGGGUUGUAAACCCCUUUCAGCAGGGCGAAGCGAAAGUGACGGUACCUGCAGAAGAAGCGCCGGCUAACUACGUGCCAGCAGCCGC